rnacentral:lncRNA from 10 species
GCAGACCAGUACUGGAGUUCGUGGUGCUGGAAGACCGCCGCCCGACUCUGGGCCCCGGGUAGGAAACAACAAUUUCGGACCUCCUGGGGUCUAUGCUAGGUAUGAGGUGUAUCUUUGCCCUCCAUCAAGUAGCAAAGAUGGACAUGUAAACAAAUUUCGACACUGUGAUGACUGCCACAAAAAGCAGCAUUAUGAGGUUGAAUGUAAAAGGAUAACCUUAGCGGCGGCGGGGGCCGGAGGAUGAAGGAAGGCUUCCUGAGGUAGGCGCUGGUUGAAACUGAAGUUGGAGAGAGCAAGUGGCAUUUGCUGAAGUGCAUUUCCGGUAGAAAACUCCAGUGGUCCCUCACCUGACUGAGUGGCGCAGUCAGAGAUAAAUGGAACAGAGUCUACAAAUAAACAUUUUAUAAAGAUGAUCCUUCAAUACAUAUUCUACAGCCCAGUUAAAAUGUGAGAGGCCAUGAUCUACAGACAGCCAUUUAUAAAGGUGGAUCAGGGCCGGACACGGUGGCUCAACGUCUGUAAUCCCGGCACUGUGGGAGGCCAAAGCGGGAGGAUCGCUUGAGCCCAGGAGUUCGAGACCAACCUGGCCAACAUGGUGAGACCCCA